CUGAUUAGAAGUUUGAGUGUCUGGCAUUUAAAGAUGCAGUUAUUGUUUUGUUUGUACUGAACUUCUGGACAUUGUCCGUCAAGGCAAUGCAUUAUGGGUCACAUGCUAACAUGUAAUGCCUUAAACAAGCAACAGACAUUGACUGUAAGCUUUGCAUUAGGAAGACUUGUCUCUACCUGAAAAAAUAUUUCUACAACACUGUAUCAGUCACUGAAUAUCCACCAUGUUUCUUAUUCUUAGCAUGUGAUUUUUUUUUUUUUUUUUUUUUUUUUUUUUUUUUUUUUUUUUUGUACUGCUUGGAAAUCCUAUUUUUUCAAAAUAAUCAGGAAGUGAAAAUGAAUGACAUGACAAUUAAGUAAUGCAAAUUUGAUUAUGUUUUGGUUUGUCUAUUUACUUCUGUUUAACAGACUGACUUCCCUCCACAAAGGAGGAUAGCCAUGACAAAGCCUCAUCAUGCACACUUUAUCAUUCACAUUCACAGCCAUAAGCACCCCUUCACAUCCUAGCCUCCUGGCCUUUAGUUGGGAAAGGAACUCUUCUCACUGAAAACACUAUUAAAGGCUCAGCUAUACAAUAUAUCCAUCUCUCUCCACACAUGCAUACCAACUAUACUUUUAGUUAUUUAAUUUUCAGUUCUAGCUUUCAGUACUCUUAACAAUAAAAUUCUUACAUUUUUUCCAAAACUACAAAUCAAUAUUGUUUCAGAAAGCUUUUCAUUUCACUUCGUCCCUCUCACUACCCAGAGUUCUCGUCCAAAAUUUACUUUCACAUGAUGGUACAAAAGUUCAACAGAACAAGUGUCCCAGUUGUUCAUGACUUCAGAUGUUCUGGUUUAUUUCUUGUUAUAGACACAUUGGACUUGUUCACUGCUCUGGAAAACAUAAAAAUGUGGUUCCCAAAAUAGUGCAUCCCUUGUUCUGAGAAGUAUACCCUGGAAACUUAAAUCCGAUGUUGAACCAUUCACCAAGUGCCUUGGUGACAGGUUUACUUGUGUGCAUGAAGGCCUGUGUGUGUAUGCAUCCUUUCAUCAGUUUGAAUAAAAAGGUUCAAUCAGUUGACCAUCUUGCACCAAGGACUUACCCCCGCCAGCAGCCAGGGUGGUAAUGGUGGUCUGAGAAGGCACAACACCUGAAUGGAAAGCGUGUGAUGUAUUACAAACCUGCACGUACCAUGAUAUGCACUCUGCAUGAACUAAUAGAAAAUUUUGUUGAACCAUCAAGAUUACAAUGACAGGAGCACAUUGGUCCUUAACUGCCCACUUUCACCUCACCACAACAACCAUCUCCACCACAUAUGUCUUGGUUGUCUGCUCAGCUUUCCCUCCCCACCCCUCCUUCCUAACCCUAAAAAAUGUCAGCCAGUCUGGAAAUGGCCAAGCCGGACAUCAAAUAGAAGCUCAGGACUUGAUAAUUGAGAUUGGGUGAAAACAUUGGAACAUGUCCAUAGCAACCUGUGUCUACUGCAUUGCCAAGUUUGUAUUCUUAUGGUUGAAGGGAAUGGUAGUGAUCAGUCUGUAUUUUUCAUGAAACGUGUAACAUGUUAAGCAAAUCUGACCCUUUGGCUUUUACGAAAGGAGUGUUCCGUUUACAUCUGAAAUGAAGUAGGAUAUAUUUACUGCCAUAGAGUUUGUUCAUUUCCAAACAUAAUUGACAAAAAAGCUCACAAAGCUUACCACACUGGUGCUUAUUCUUGCAUUGUCUACAACUAAGAUAUGUUUAUUUUGAAAUGGAUGAGUAAAAGAACAGAGAUGGACAGAGCAUGAACACUGUAAUGGUUUGGGUUAUCAUCAAAAUUAGUUUGUUUUCAAUUUCUGUUUCUUUUCUUGAUGCUUUUGUUGUUUACGUUUCCUGUAUCUGCAGCACAUAUCUUUUCUUCCUUUGUGUCUGUGUAUGUGUGUGAAUCAUGGCAUAGAGCCUCAAGAAUGCAGUUUAGGUGUCACUGCUGUGAUCUCAGUGCUGGGUGUUGCUGUGGUUCUAUGCCACUGACAGUGGUGCUGUGGAUCUGUGCCACUAGUAGCAUCUGUAGUUAGAGUCUGGGAUUUGCCUGGCUCGCCUUGGCCAAGUGUGACACAGGUGAGGAUAAAGGCCUUGAGUGGGGUUUAAACUCAUAAUUGUUUGCAUUGGUUUGCCAAUUAUUUACAUUUUAUUCCAUACACAGACUAGAUAUUUGGCUGUUUUUGUUGUGCACUUAUGAUUAAAGAUACAGUGGUGAUGAUGCUUCCAUCAUAAUGGUAUUUUAUUAGACUAAGUGACUGAUGCAUCUUGAAUAAGUUGAGAGAUUUCUAGGACCUAAUCUUUCUUUAAUUUUGCAUUUUGCUUUAAACAAUGAUUUUAAAGUGUAGCUUGAAUUUAACUAAUUUCAUUUGUCACCUAAGGAAAGGCAAGCAAUAUUGCAAUUGUCUUAAUUUUUUUUGUAAUUUGAAAGUUACAUUAAGCUGAGGUGUUUGGUCAUGGUUCCCCGCAGGUCAGUCAUACAGGUGUACAAUACUUAGUUUUACAAAAAAAAAAAAAAAAAAGGGAUUAUUGUUGAAUAACCUUGAAGCCAUGCAUUUAAGUAUACCAGGGUCCCUGCAUUCAUUAACCCAGCAUCUGUUAAUUAACUUCAACUGUAUGCAAAUAGUUAAAAUGUGUCCAUAUUUUUGGCAGCAUAUGAAGAAAUAAAAUUUUUCAUGUCAAAAUUUCAUACAUUUGUUGACAGCCACCAAACACCUUGACCACCAAAGAAACCAUUUGCCCUUGCUCUCCAAAAUGCCACCCAAGUUUCCCACAGUAUGUGUCAGGAAGACUGUUAAAAGACAUGAGUAGGAAAGGAUAUCACUGCCUUGAGAAGAGAAAGUUAAAAUGUUUGAUGGAUUGGCUGUGCUGAAGAAUGCAAAUGGUGUUGGCUAAGAAUUUAACCAUAACCUGUUAAUGGUUAAGUCAAGUAUGCAUUCUUUUGAGAUUAUAGAAAGAAAAUCAGAUGAGAGUAAAAAUUGAUGAAUAGUUUGUAUGAAAUUUUUAAAAAUUGAGAGCAUUUCACUAGGUCUGUGAAUUAGCAAGUCUGCUGCAAACAUUUUCAAACAACAAUAAAUAUGAAAUCUAAUGAUGUUGACGAAAUUAUUGAAUAUGACUUUCAUCCUGCAUUCCCUGCUACCUGACACAACACUCUAGUAGAGGAACGAUAAACAUCAUCUCAUCUUCAUUACAUACUUUUUUCAUCAAUAAUAUUGCCACUUUUAGCAUUUCAUAAAUAAGAAGAAGCAGGAAGGAAAACAAUUUGCUGUAUGACCUUUUGGACCAAUGAUGAGUCUGUGUAGUGCAGGUAUCAUUCUUACCACAAUGUGUAGCCUUCAUAAUAUAUAUAUAUAUAUAUAUAUAUAUAUAUAUAUAUAUAUAUAUAUAUAUAUAUACACAUAUACAGUGGAACCAUGGUUCUUGAACUUAAUUUGUUUCUGAAUGCCGUUCAAAAUCCGAAAUGUUCAGAAACUGAAACUAUUUUCCCCAUGGGAAUCAAUGUAAAAUGGAUUAAUUAAUUCCCUGUCUUAGUGGCUUAUUACAGACACUCCCACAGCCAAGAUGGCAGCUCUACAGCAUCAGCUUAGAAAUUAUUUAUCCAGAAAGGAUGUAUUGAAUGAACUUAGUGACAUUGUGGGUCAUCAAGAGAGACAUAGGUGGCUUGGGAUUAUUCCUGAGUGCCAAAAACUGUUUACAUCGAGGCUCUUUAACAGGAUCACAUUUAACUUAUUUCAAAGAUCGAAUUCCUGUCUUACCCAUUGUCUCUCUCCUCCAAAUACAUAAAGAUUAAGGAAAUAUUUAUAAAAACUAUAAAUUAGUAAUAAACUGCAGCUUUUACCUUGUCUUUCAGCAUUUGAAAUCAAGUAACUUUGUUCAAGAAUCAAAUUAUUGUACAGCAACUGAAGCAAUUAAGAGUUUAUAAUUUUGUUCAAAAACAGAUUUCUUCAUAAAGAGUGGUGUUUGGUAAUCGAGGUUCCACUAUAUAUAUAUAUAUAUAUAUAUAUAUAUAUAUAUAUAUAUAUAUAUAUAUAUAUAUAUAUAUAUAUAUAUAUAUAUAUAUAUAUAUAUAUAUAGACACACACACACACACACACACACACACACACACACACACACACACACACACACACACACACACACACACACACACACACACACACACCUCCCUUCCCAUACACUACAACUAAGUAAAUAGAACUACCAGGAAGGUAAAUACACAAAUAUGAAUGUAUAUUUGAUAUGUUGCUAUAUGCAUUUUUCUACUCUGUGGAUGGUCACAAGCCAAGGGUGGUGAGUGCAAGGGCUCUCUCUAGUGUGCGGCCAAGGGCAUGAUAUCAUCACCAUUCAGAAUAGAGUAAAACUGCUAAUAAGAAAUAUUGCCUAAUGCAUAGUCAUCUCAAUUCUUUAUUUUCUGGUUUCUGUUACCAGUUGACCUCCAGCUAGAAUUAUGAACCACACAACACAAACUCCAUGACCAUAAAUCAAAUGAAGAGAUUUUUUCUGAGUAAAACUGAAUUGUUAGGACAGUAUCAACCUGGAAUGUGCAAGAAGAGGUGACUGUUAUUUAGUGUAUGAAGAUUUUGGUUAGCAGUAUCAUGGAUUAGCUUGAUCAGCUUGGACCUUUUUUUUUUACUCAACACAGUACUUUCAACUUGAGUGAAUAUCUUUUCCAUAUCCUAAAUGAAACUUCCUAUGAGGAUUUUAGAAGGAAAAAUCAAUAUUCAUCCAGAAAUAAAAGCUAUGUUCAGUAUUUUAAAGACGUAUCACUCUUUUUUUGCCAGAUAGGAUUGAUGAUCAGGCUUGGUUCAAAAGGCAUUCCAGCACUCUGUGCUAUAAUGUUCAAUAUUCCCAUGAAGCAAUUCAGUGAUGCUGCCCUUACUGUUGUCCUUUUGUUGGCUGAUGGCUGUAAUGCAGCUCACUCUUAACAAAUAUCAGCUCUUGCUUGACAUUUGUAGGAAUUUAUUUGAGCUCAUGCCUUACUUUUUUUACUCAAAGAUUAAAAGGUUAUGUGCACUUAUUACUUUACAUCUUUAUAAAAUCUAUUUGGAAUAUACAUUAAAUGAUAGUCUGCUUCUGAGAUUUUAAAGCUGGAUAUGCAAAGCAAGAAUUGUCCAUCAUACUUAUUUUUUUUAUAUGAAAUUGACAUGACAUGCAGUUGGUGCUCUGUCCUGGGUGUAGUAAUGUGGUGUGGUGUGGUGGGGUGUUGGCAGGUUGUGGUGGGACUGGCUUUUCCCAGUGGCCAUGAAGGAGUGUAGUGGGUCACAGGCACGUUUCACUGGCCUCCAGGGAAUUGCUUGUGCAUCAUUUUGGCAACAGUGAAUAUGUGAUUCAAGGAUGUUUUUACAAAUUUUACCAUUUUUUCCCCUUCAUUGUUAUUUAUUAUUUGUUAUUGUUUUUACUUUUUCUUUGUCAUAUAUUAGAAUAAUAUAAUAGUGUCUUAUGUAUGUGUAGUAAUGGGUAAUGAGUAGCUAAUUAUUGGUGUCCACCUCAUCACUUAAUUUCAAUGGUGACAUAAGUAACAGACCACAUCUGUUGAGACCAGAAAAAGAAGCAUCUCACCAAUCACAGUUUCAGCGUUGUCAUGCACAUGUUAAAUUUGACCAUAGCAAAAAGGGGAAAUUUCUAACUAUAAAAAUCUGAUUAAUUGUCUUUUUGUAUUACCACACAGAUUUUUUCUUGUAGUUUAUAUUAAGCAUAAUUCCUUUGAGUACUCAGAUCAGUGAUAAAUUCCUGAAUAGUUCUGUGGUGAUGGUACACACCUAUGAUCAUCUUGAUAGAUAAAAUUUGUUCCUGUUUCAAAUGAUAGCAUUAUAACUUAACUUCAAUGCACACUGAAUGCUGUCAUGUAAACAUUUUCUUCAACAUGCAAUAUACUUGACUUGCUAAAGGUUCAGAUUUGCUGUGUGUGUGUGUGUGUGUGUGUGUGUGUGUGCGUGUGUGUGUGCGUGUGUGUGCGUGCGUACACGCGUGCGUGCAUGCGUAUAUGCGUGUUCAUGUUUGUAUUUCUUUGUCUGUCAGUUUGUCUGUCUAUGUGUCUGUGUGUACUUAUUCAGUAUUCACAAGAGGUCUGGUAUUUAUUUAUUUUUAGUCUAAAGCUACUUAUGGACCAAUUACCAAACCUCAUUUCCAUAUAUAUAUAUAUAUAUAUAUAUAUAUAUAUAUAUAUAUAUAUAUAUAUAUAUAUAUAUAUAUAUAUAUAUAUUCUUUAGUUUAUUGUAUAUUUUAGAAAGUUUUGUAUUAUAAUUGAGGUUUAAGGUUCUGUUAGUGUUAUGUGGUCUGAUCUAAAUGGUAUGUUACACCACAUCUUUGUAUUUUUAUCUUAGAAACUUUUGUUCUACCAAAAUACACUUUCCAUGAGAGAGAGAGAGAGAGAGAGAGAGAGAGAGAGAGGUGAUUAUUGCUUUCUCAUGCAUGUGUCUUGUCUUGAAGAGGACAUGAGUGGCUGAAGAGUUAAUCUGUACGCUGUUAUUUGGAGCACAAAAUUAUAGGUAGGCUGAUCAUGUGUCUCUAUGAGUUAUGGAUGCAUUUCUUAAACCAGUCCUCUAAUUGUUGAUGUGGUAAUCAUUCAUGUAUGUAGCAAGGUAACACUCCUCAUUAGUUUUGAUGCAUUCUUUUCUUGUAUAAAAAGUUGUAGUGUAGGAUUCAUUAACUAAGAUUUUUCAGUAAGAUUUGUUCUUAACAUGUAGUAUAGCCAACCUGAUUUUCACAUUGUUGACGUGGAUGGUUCAGCACUUCGGUGUUCACUCACCUCAGUUGGUCAGUGUUCGCUCACAUCUAGUCAGACGUUACUUCCCAGGAUGUCAUAUUUUGAAUUCCUUGUAUGUGAUGACACUUGUGUGGUUAGCCAAGGCUUUUUUUUUUUUUUUUUUUUUUUCUCCAUAA